UACGUAGGGAGCAAGCGUUGUCCGGAUUUACUGGGCGUAAAGCGCGCGUAGGCGGAGCUUUAAGCGUGGCCUGAAAGCCCCCGGCUCAACCGGGGAGGGCGGCUGCGAACUGGAGUUCUUGAGGGCGAUAGAGGGGGGUGGAAUUCCUGGUGUAGCGGUGAAAUGCGUAGAUACCAGGAGGAACACCGGUGGCGAAAGCGGUUUCCUGGCCGAGUACUGACGCUGAGGCACGAAAGCGUGGGGAGCGAACGGG
rnacentral:rRNA from 1 species